rnacentral:rRNA from 1 species
UUUAAAGCUUCAAACUGGGAUUAGAUACCCCACUAUUCUUGAUUUUAAAUAUAAUUAAAUUUACCAGAGUACUAUGAAUGGUUAAAAAUUUAAAACUCAAAGGGCUUGGCGGUGUUUUAGACCUAUCAGGGGAACCUGUCUCAUAAUCGACAAUCCACGCAAUAUCUGACCUUAUUUUGUAAUCAGUUUGUAUACCGUCGUCGUCAGGUAACUUUUAAAAAUAUAGAAGUUAGCAAUCAAAAUUACUUUGAGUUAAAACGUCAGAUCAAGGUGCAGCCUAUAAUAAGGAGAGGAUGGGUUACAAUUAUAAAAAUUAUAAUUACGGAAAUUUAAAUGAAAUUUAUUUUUUGAAGGAGGACUUGAAAGUAAACUGGAAUAUAUAAAUAGUUUGAAUGAGGCUCUGAAACGUGCACACACCGCCCGUCACCCUCUGCAGUCAAAAAA